rfam:Ailuropoda melanoleuca scaffold4_29, whole genome shotgun sequence.
GCCUGACUGGCUCAAUUGGUAGAGCAUGCGACUCUUGAUCUCAGGGUCAUGAGUUUGAGCCCCAUGUUGGGCA